AGUGGACUGGCUGCCAAAGCAAACUUCCAUGGAAGGCAGACAUACCAAGGCCUGGACGCAGAUCCUCAGCAGGCGGAGAAGCUCAGUGCCAACCCCUCCAGAAAGAAGCGAAUCAGUAUCAACACGGCUGUCAAGACGGGGCAGACGUUCUGAAGUGCCUGUGGUCUUCACAUGGCACAGUGAGAUUACAGUGAAGGGAGCAGGAUGGAGCCAGCUGUGUUGCUGAAACAUGUGGCUGUAUGGUUGCAGGUCUGACUGCCAGCAACGCAACGUGUUAUUGCUGCACAGAACAAGCACCAGUUUGUUAUAAGCACAAGACUGACAGGGUUAAAUUACAUGGACGGUAUGGAAAAUUAUUAACUUGUAUCUGCUCCAUUUGCUGCAUUUAUACCUAAGGACAGUAUGUGUAAAAAAGCAUGAAAAUAUAUAUAUUCUGUUUGUUUUGUUAUGCUGCAUGCCACCCUCUUAUGUAACACGAACCAUACCCAGCUGUGGAAAACAGGCGAGUACAAUACGAAAAGUAAACAUCAUUAGAAAACAUUCCAGCAAUACCACAGUCUGACUCAAUAUCUGUGCAGCUUUUCGACUCCCCUACGGAUUCCCAGCAUACCACAGAUCAUGGGCAGAUGUUCUGCAUUAUCACUUCUCUCUGCAGUCUCACUUUGUCUCUAUCCUCAGAGCUGAUCAGAUCCCCACAGAGUGGUUAGGGAUACAAAGAUAACGCCCUCCAUGUUCCCACUGAUCGUGUCAGAGGACAGAGCAUCUGAAAGGUGAACAAAUGGGACGAUCAUUGAGAUGAGAAAUUCACUCAUCUAUAAUGAAGCUAAGACUUGGUGUGCAUGGAGUCGAAAUACUUUCCUGGGAAAAUGACUAAUUUGGGUAACAAAUACAAAGAGGACGUACUUCACGUUAUUGUGCUGAAUCUGAUGUGAGACUCACAGUAGAACAGUGAGUUUGCAUGCAAAGUGGUCGACACGCCCAAAUGAAACAUCUGUGGUAUCAUCAUCAUCUAAAGUAUGGACGGGAAAUCACACAUAUUGUUCAAUUAAGUCGAAUCCCACCUGCUCCUAUAACACCCCACGAGAGCCAUUAUUUUUGACAGCUAACAGAUGUGAAUGUACAUUGAUAAUUGGGUUGGAAAAGACAGGCAGACAUUUCGUUGAUAAAACAGCCCCGGAUACUGUAAUCAAAGUAAUUUGUGCAAAAGCAGCGAGUAAUUAGCAUGGAGGUUCCCGCGGUGUACUUACAUUUUGAAAACGCUGGUUAAUCUGAUUUAUUCGGACAGAAUUUUGUCAAACUUAAACUGAAAGGCUGACCCAGAAACUUUAUAUCAAACACCGCAGGAGCAUUGCUCCCAUUCAAAACGUGAAGUACCAGUGUUUCGGAUUCAGUGGCAAAGCAGUUGAUGAUUGCAAUCUCCUCUCUUCACCUCUCUCCUCUGGCCUAGAUGGCCGCCAAAUGCGUGAAAGGCCCCCAGUGUUUAGUUUGUUCGUUCUGAACUUCUGUAGAAACAUGGUGGUUCAACAUGAUGGACCCCAUAGAAGAGGACCUGUGGUGUCUGUACAUAUUUUUAGGUAACACAAAUAUUACAACUUAUCUGUAUAUUCUGUAAAUCUUACACACUGGCCCGUUAAGUCAUAAACUACUAAAACACAACAGUACACUUGUUAGACUGUGAGGAAAUGUCUGAUCUCACAAAACACUUUGGCCCUGCCUCUCUUCAUGACAUCUUGCUGUUUUAUCUGCUCACACUUUAGCACUUUCUGACAACACAUGCGGCCAGCAGCAACCACUGUUUACCACACAGCAGCCACACUACAAGAUGCCAAAACUUAGUUAACAGCUGUAAAGACAUUCCCAAACACUGAGCCAUGCCAGAGAGUAGGAAGAAGAUGUCAGUUCCUGUGAUAAUGAGGGGAAAUGAAAACAAUGACUGAAAUGAUGGUAAAUUAUACUGCUGCACAAUGAUUUCACAGCUCCAGCAUGUAUAUGAUUAUAGGAGGACAGGGGGUGCAUCAGGGGUGAAUUAGCUCUGGCUUUUCCAUGUGACCAGGGGAUUGCCUCGGAGGGACGAGGCGGCAGGCCGUCACCAUCACACACAGAAAGCAGCUACAAAUUAAUUCACUCCAACAACAACCCCUGUCCUCACCUGCUGCAACACGCUCCGCCAGCACUCGCAAUCAACCAGCGAAUUCCUUCCGCUUUGAGUUGUGAGGUGGAGGUGAAGGACUGGGGGGUUUGUGGGCUCAGCGUUGUGGCUGUGAUGUUGUGUAAUUGACAGGUAUGUUUGAAUCCACUGUCUGAUGCAAACCUCACAACGCCCACUCCCCUACUCAGGUCGGACAACAAACACGUCUGCUUCCAGGAACGUGAAAAUACAUGCCGAAGAUGGCAGGGCCAUUUAGAGAUGACGGGGUUAUUCAUCCAGUUAAACACACAUUGCGUGCAGUAAAUCAUUGAUCCAUCAUGUGUGAAUCAAAGACAAUACAUAUGGUCCAAGUCGGUGUGGCUUUAUUGGUUGAACAAACUACUAUGAAACCAAGAAAACAACCUGGUGACCCCUGAAAUAAUUUCACUGUAAUUUACAACAACACAAUGCUGAGAGUAAGACACACUGUAUUCAGAGGCUGAAUUAAGUCGGCCUGCUAUUAUUUUGCCCGAUGAGAGACGGGGGAGUCAGAUCAAAGCUGAGCAGUUGUCAGCUUCUUCUUUUGUCUCUGCCAAGAAUGAGACAGAGCUGCGAGGUUUUGAGCACAGCUGCCCUGAAGCAGACUCACAGCUGACUGUCAGCUGGGCUUUCUCUUCCAGUACUGCAAAAUAACGGGAAAAAUGGCCCAACAAAUUAUGUAUACUUGUGAUUUUGUUGACCAUUUUC